rnacentral:rRNA from 1 species
UUUUUUACGGCUCAGUAACACGUAGUCAUCCUUCCCUGGAGACCAGGAUAACCCCGGGAAACUGGGAUUAAUCCAUGAUAGGUCAUAAUCAUCUGGAAGGAGAGAUGGCCUAAAGGGGUACGCGGGCUUCUUCCUCGCAUCCGCUCCAGGAUGGGACUGCGUCCGAUCAGGCUGUUGGCGGGGUAAUGGCCCACCAAACCUGUAACCGGUACGGGCCUUGAGAGAGGGGGCCCGGAGAUGGACACUGAGAGAAGGGUCCAGGUCCUACGGGGCGCAGCAGGCGCGAAACCUUCGCAAUGCGAGAAAGCGAGACGAGGUUAAUCCGAGGAAGCCCGGUGAGGGGGUCUACGUCAGCAGUAAAAAGGCAGGCGAAA